UUUUGGCCUAUUUGGAAAAGAAAGGAAAUAUAACUUAAUAUUGGUUAAGAACAUGAACUUUCUAAAUAUAGGUAGCAUUUGAAAAUGUAGGUAUAAUUUUCUAAACUCAUUGAUAUUUUACAAGUUCUGAUUUAACAACUAUAUACUAUCAUGUAUUUCAGAAACUUUCCUAUCAUGCUCAAAGUAGUGGCUCAAUGAAACCUUUAUUAAUAGCCUAAUGUGAUACAUUUGCAAAUAACACAGUGAUAUAGCAAAACAUGAAAUUUAGAUAAAACUCAGGUAACAGAGUUUAGAAUCCUGUUUCAACCACUUACAAGAUGUGAACUUUAGUGGUUUAGAAUGCACAGCCACCAUUGUCUCUAACCAUCCGCUAUUUUGGAGGAAUUCACUCAACUCUACUGUGCUGGGUCAGCCCAAUAUACCAUGUUCCCAGCCACAUAAGAUUAAAUCAGCAGUGAAUAUCUGGACUAAAAGCAUUUACAUUAUUUCCCAAAAAUUUUAAACUGGAACAAUGAGUGACAUUUAUCAAGGGAGGUUGAGAAGGCACUGAGUGGAAUAAGUAGGCAAUUUGCCAAAAGCCAGUUUACCAAUAUUUUAUACAAAUUUUGUCUUUUAAUUGUUUAUAUUAAUUUACAUUGGAUGGGAUUCUUUUUAUGGCUUUUCUGUGAUGCUCUGGUUGGCAACUUUUCAUUUGUAUUCUCUGUGGCACUUUAAGAAAUGUUGAGUUUAUUUUUUAAAAUAAGUUACUUUGUCUACUUAGGAAUAUAUUUAAUAUUCAUAAAAAUAUUUCUCAAAAUCCAAAAUGUUGGCAUAAAACAGUAGCCCAAACCUGAUAUCUACCAUAAAUUUAAAUUUUUGAUGGAACAGAGCAACCAUAUUUAAUGUGAAAUAUCAAAUUUUUCAUUAUUGGGUGCUGCAAUUCAAAAUUCAGUUUACAUACUAUUUGUGAAAUUGGGGAUAAAAUACCAGAGUUUUAAAAAGUAGAAAAUGACAAUAAGAUUGGAGAAAAGGUCAAAAAAAGGCCAAAAUCUAUCUCUCAUCAAAGGUAAAAUGCUAAUAUUUGGGAACUUAAUAAGCAGCAAUUUGGAUAAGUUAAUUUAGUAAAUGUAGAAAAAUAUUGAGGGAACAGAAAGAACCAUUUGAAGCACAGAAAGGAAGUGACAAUGGAAGGAAAGAAUUACUAUGAUGGAACAUAUGAUUGGUACCUCACAUUUGAUAUGCAUUAAGCAUAAAUAUAAGUUUAUAAAGAAAAAGUUCCAAAAAAUUAAGUUUAAAAUCCUAAAAAUGCUAAUAGAUGAAGGUAAAAGUACUUUCCAAGUACAUUUGGAAGAUAAUAGCUAAUUAACUAUCCUGAAAACUGGAAAAUAAGGCAAAAAAAAAAAAAA